rnacentral:rRNA from 1 species
UACGAACUGUGCGAACGUUUAUUCGGAAUCACUGGGCUUACAGGGGUGCGUAGGCGGCUUGUUAAGUAGGGUGUGAAAGCCCCCCGGCUCAACCGGGGAAUUGCGCCCUAAACUGGCGAGCUGGAGUGAGAUAGGGGUGUGUGGAACUUCCGGUGGAGCGGUGAAAUGUGUUGAUAUCGGAAGGAACGCCGGUGGCGAAAGCGACACACUGGAUCUUGUCUGACGCUGAGGCACGAAAGCCAGGGGAGCGAACGGG